UACAUACUCCCUCCGUCCGAAAAUACUUGUCAUCAAAAUGGAUAAAAAAAGAUGUAUCUAGAUGUAUUUUAGUUCUAGAUACAUCUUUUUUUAUUCAUUUUGAUGACAAGUAUUUUCGGACGGAGGGAAUAUUAG
rnacentral:pre_miRNA from 1 species